UGCUCCUCCUCUCAGACCUUCCCAAAUGCCUCAGAUGCCCCUGAUGCUCCACACAAGAGUACAGUUUGAAAGCCAUUUACUGCUGUAAAUGACAGUGAGUUAGAGAUAUGAUUAAAAAAAUAGAUUCAGGCAGGUUACCCAUAGCCACGCCAAAUAGUGAACGGCUAUCAUCAGACUUCUGAAUCAGAAAUAGGAGGGUAUGCAAGGUGUGACUUCAAAGUAAUAAGUGACUUAUUCUCUAUAAUUGUGAUAGAAGGAAGGCUUUCAAGACAGCUAUCCCGGCAGCUAAACUUACCACAGUUUACUUGCUGUCCUGUCAUUGCAUCUCCUAAUCUUCACAGGUGAUGUCCCUUAACUCUUUUCCACCCCCUCCACUCUUGUCACUUACCAUUAGACCUUCCUGCCCUCUGCCCCAAGCACUUAGAUUAAGGACUUAGCCCUGAUUCAGUUCUAGCCCUUGCCCUACUUACUUUUGGGUAGCCCAUUUCCUCCAUGACCAAGUCUAGGCCAGGAUUAAAUGAAAGUAGAUUUCCUGCUCUCCAGUCACAGUCUCCUGUGAUGAUUGUCACUAUAUGGACCUCUGGUCCUAUCUCCUUGUCUCCAGUUUUUGUAGAUUUUGAACUGAGUUUGGAACCUUAGCUCUGCCAUUGAAUUCACCAUUCCCACAGCCCCUGCCCAAUCCCAACUAAUGGUUUUGUAUUUGUUUUUCAGCCAUAAAACUCUUUCAUGAAACAAAAAUCCUAAAUGAAAGUAGAAUAUGUAAAACAGAUAAAAAAUGGAACUUACCUGAUUGUAAAAAAGGUGAAGACUCCCAUUUGCACAGCAUCUCAUCUGGCAUAGAGUAAGCACUCAGUAAAUGCUAACUCUUUAAUAAUAACAAUAGCAAAAACAAGAACUAUGAAAAAGUUGUUCAAAUGCUACUCAAAUGCUACCAUCUUCAAGAAGACUUCUCAGAUUUUCUCUUCCUUUUCUAAAUGCUCAUAAUAGUUUAUUUUGUACCACUUCUGGUGGAAGUUUCUACAUUAUGUCUGACAUUAAAGUUAUUUUUAUUUUUCCUACUAUAGUUUAGGUGCUUGAGGAAUACUCUCGAACCAUUUCAUCUCUCUACUUUUCAUAGAACUUCAUAUUAUGCCUGGGACAAACUGAUCCUAAGGUGAUCCCUGCCUUCUGGUAUUUAUGCCCUUGUAUAAAUCCCUUCCCUUGAACAUUGGCAAGGCUUGUGGUUUGCUUCUAACCAAUAGAAUAUGGCAAAGGUGAUGAGAUGUCAUUCCCAUGAUUAUGUUACAUUAUAAAAGACUCCAUUUGCUGGAAUUCUUGCUCUAGAAUCUUUCUUUCCAUUGUUAGCUUUGAAGAAGACAAUUGUUAUGAAAAAGCAUCUGUCUCAAGGAUAUAGCAUCUCCCAAAAUUCAAAUGAGGUGAGAAGCAGUUUUGUUAAAGGCAGAAAGCUAGAGGAAACUUCCCCAGUUGAGCCUUCAGAUGAGACUGCAGCCCUGGACAACAUCUUAAUUGCAGUCUAGUGAGACCCUAUGCAGAGGAUUGAGCUAAGCCAUGUACAGACUUCUGACCUAGAGAAAAUCUGAGGUCCAAAGGAGAUGAUAAAAUGUAAUCACUAAAUGUCAGCUGGAUGAAAGCCCAAGCCUCCCUGAACACUGCAGCCAACUGGUGGAGUUUGGAUUUCUUGGUCUGGUUCCAGGAACGCCUGACCCAGAAUUGAAGCACUUCCUUGAUGGAGGCUGCUCUGAAGAAAACUGUGGCUAGCUUUCAUCACCAAGAGAAGGUAACCAGAAAAAGUGUCCCACCAGCCACCAGAGGGAGGAAUGACCCCAACUCUCCAGAGGACUAGGGCUAUGCCAGCUGGUUUCCUUUCCUGAGUUCUAUGUGGUUGUACUUAGAGGAAGGAGAAAGGAUCCUCAGAAUACACUGACCUCCUCUUCUCCCUCCUGGUUAAUUCUUAACUGGUUUGAAUGAAACUCUUUAAAGCAGUGAACUGAUUUAGAAUCAUAAGAGCAACACUUUUUUUUUUUCAUUUGUAAAAUGUCUUUUCAAAUCCAUCAUAAAAGCACAUUUUAUAUGUCAACCUUGCAAAUGGCUGUUGAAAUUUUGUGGGCUCCCACAACAUUUUUGUUAGUCGUUGCACAUUCACUACAGUAUGAGUAAUGUGUGUAAUAACGUGGACCUGAUCAUUACGGGCACCCAGCCCCGAAGGUAGAGAAGGGGCUUCGAGUUUUGUGGGGUCGAUGUUAAAUUUUCAGAAAUCUUCUUAUUCACAGUCCGAUUUCUAUCAAACACCAACUUAGUUUUUUUCAAGUCUCAGGCCUGUGGUUUCAUGCUAAUUUGCCAGGCUGCUGAUGUUGUAUUGACUAAGCAGUUAUAUCCAUAAAGACUUUCCAACUAUUAGCAAAUUUGUAUUUAUUAGUUAGCUAGAUGGGGUAGAAUACUCAGCAUGUUGCCCAAAUUUCAGUUAAGCAGUUCAUUUUGUAAACUCUUUUACAUUGCUAUCUUUAUAAAUUAUUUCUUACGACAGUCCUAUGAGAUAGGCUAAUGCUGUUGUCCAGAAGCUGCCUAGGUUUUAGAAAGGGUACAUGAUGUGUCCUGAGAUAGUGGUAGAACCAAGAUUAGAAUUCACAGUUCUUGGGGCUCAGGCGGCCAUGUCUUGUCACCCAUCUGAUGUGUCCACCCACUUCCUUAAGUUAUAUUAAGUUUGGGUACCAUUGCAGAGUCACAGAUUCAGAUAAAAUAACAGUUAUGGAAAUGGAGUCCAUGUCCAUAAAAGCAGAGCCCUGCAUUCAGCAGCCUGAGUGGUGCCCCACAUGGGAUGGGUGCUCUCACUCCUUCAGAGUCCCCUACACUAAUGGCUUCCCCAGAGGCUGUUUCUACUCUUCUGAGUUAAGCUGUUCAAACUGGAAGAUCAUUUAGUUCAACUCUUUGUUUUGCAGGGAAGGAAAGCCUCAGGACAAAAUUGGGUCAGUCUCAGGAUAAGAACCUGAGUUACCUGACACUGGCUUCAGCACUCUGCUCCCUAGACCGCCCUGUUUCUCCAGACUGGCUUCUAAGCCACUUGCUAUGGAGUUAGAAAGUGAACUGAGGUAUCAGUCAAUGUCCACAAAAUAUGAAUUUGGGAUGUUUCCUGGGUCCAAGGAAGCCCAGAGCUUGAGCCCAGAGUUUGUAGGUAGAAGAUGAGAUUGGUGAGUGAUGUUUUCUGUUUCACCAAGUAGUAAUACCUGUGCAACUAGACCUAUUGUCUAUAAAACCCACAAUGAAAUGGAGACUUCAAAUGAUUUCCGUAGACAGCCAAACCAAAGCAAUUAUCUAGGCCUCAAAUGGAACAUUGUGGUCUGAACAUGAAGGAUGAUAAUUUGUUAUCUAAGUAAAUCCUAUUUUGUCAUUAUAAUUGUUAAUAUGCAAAAUGUUGGGUGGGAAGACCCACGUUAGAAAACAUAAGCCUAUGCCUAUUGAAAGGCGCUUCUGGGAACCAGGGUUUCCCACGCUUUGGUCAUUCACGUAUAUCACCAUUUUUACCGUAUCUGCACAUUUUCAUUAGACUGAUUUUUUUUUAAUAUAAAGCAAUAUAUGAAGAGAGGAAAAAUUUAUAGAACUGAAAAAUGGUAAUCCAGUAUCAUUUGCCAUAAAAAAAUUAAAAUAAAUUCAUAAUGAGAAAAUUUUUAUAAAGUUUGUGCCCUCAUUAGAACCAUCUCAUGUAUGAUCAGCAAUGUCUACUAUGCCUUAGAAGCAUUGAUCUGGGCCAGCAGUUACCAAUAUUUUUUAGGGGUAGGAACCAUUUAUACCCUUAAAAAUUAUUGCGAAGCCCUAACGAGAUUUUAUUUAUGUGGGUUGUAUCUAUAAAAAUUCGCUAUAUUGGAAGUAAAAGCUGAGAAGUCGUUAAAAUAUAUAUUUAAUAAUUCAUUUACAAAUAAUAAUAAGCCCAUCAUGUGGUGACUUAAACAUCAUUAAGUUGCUGUGAAGCCAUUAAUAUCAUAAUUAAAAGGCUAUAUUUUCCAAAGCGAAAAGAAAAAAGCGUACCGAAAAUAGUGGCAUUGUUUUACAUUUUUGUCAAUUAACGUCUUAAGAGAAGACGGUGGGUUCUCACACCUGUGUCUGUAUUCACUAUGCCGGGAUAUGUCGUUUGGGUUGAAGUGUAUGGAGAAUGUCUGGCUUCACACAGAUAUGUAGUUGGAAAAGAGAAGCGUACUCUGGUAGCCUUGCUCCAUGUUGUGGAUACUCUUCUUUGAUGAUGUACCAGAGCUCAACAAUGUACAGAAGCUGAAAUCAGUGAACUUUCACUUUAAAAUCUAUUGAUUUACUUUCUACCUUGAGUAAACCUUUUACCUAUACAUGAUUUUGUAACAGCAUACAUCAGUCCCUUGGAAAAUGCUACUUCACCAAGUUAUGCGGGUCUUUCAAAUUUUGGCGCAUUUCCUUACAUAAUACAUAUAUUUUGUUAACAUUUAUUUAUUUUUGAGGCAGACAGAGAUAGAAUGCGAGUGAGUUAGGGGCAGA